rnacentral:ribozyme from 13 species
AAGAGAGAGAAAAGAAAGAAGAGAAAGUACGAGAAAGACAAUCUCAUUCAGAAGAAAAUACCUCUCCCUCCUCGUCUCUCUCUUCAACCUCUUCUUCUUCUGUUUCUUCUUCUUCUUCUUCUCCCCCAAAAUUAAUGUUUUGUUU